CUGGCCCCUGGCAUCUUCCCAAAAUGAGAAAUGAGAAACUUGACUCUCCUGACUUCCAGAUAGGGAUCACAUUGUUUUUCUACCAUCAGAAUAUAAAGUUAAUUCAUUGCCCCAGUUAAAUUUGAUUUUAAAAAAUUUCAACCUCAGUCUCAAUCUCUGUCUCUCUGUCUCUGUCUCUCUCUCUUGAUUGAGAUAUUUUUGUUGUUGUUUUAAACAGCUACUCUACAGACCCAGCAUCGUGUUUCAUGGAGCAUUUACUGGAGUGCUUAUUUUCAGUAAUUCUUUUCCUGGAUACUUUCCAAUUAUUUCCAGAGGACAAACUCACGCUGUGUGUAUAAGGAUCUCAAAAAAAAAAAAAAAAUCUUCCUGGCAGGAAGAAGAGCUCUGAUGAAUUCAACUUUGGGAGGGAAGAAUGUCGGAGGCUGGUUGGAGUAGAAACUGGCAGGCUUUCAUGGGGGGGCUUUUGAGGCAGAAGAUCAGGGAGACCCUUGGGUAAGCAGAAGCAGCUGGCUACCCGCUUUUCUUUCUCCACUUGGCUCUUGCUACAUCAGCCUCCAGGUAGCUGCUAUAAGGAGAAACAUGAAACAACCCAGAGAAGGCUUCAGAUGGAGAGCUUUGACUCUGAGCAUGGAAAUGGCUUGCCCCUGGGGUCCAAAGCUGCUUGCCUGUCACCAUCAUCAGAGAUGCUUGUGCUGUGAGAUGACCCCCACACUCGAGCUCCUGGGUCAGUCUAUGUCUGAUAAGUUCAACACACAAAUCGCUGUAUUCAGCUUUGCUUCAGCAAUGAACAUUGUCAUCGAACAUUAUUUGUGUGGUCCACAAUGCCCUGGCCAAUGACUCUGGUGCUCAGGCAAGAACCCAUAGGUAUGACUAUUUACGGAAGAAGUUUAUGCAUAUUGGUAUGUGUUUGUCAUUCACGUGGACAUGACAGUGACCUCAUGCUUGGUCUCUGCUGACAUCUGUCAGCCUUGCAAAAAUGCCCACCUUUUGCAUUGUCCUUGCUGGAGCCUUUAUCUUACUCCAUUUUCCUGAUGUUAUGAUAAAAAUACCCCGACGGAAGCAACUUAAGCAGGAAAGGGUCUAUUUUGGCUUAUAAUAGGAGGCGAUAGUUCAACAUGGUGGGGAAGUAAAUAGUAGCAGACACUCCAAGGAGCUGGCCAGACAGCACCUACACCAAGAAGGGGAGGGCGAUGAAUGUCUGUGCACACAUCAGCUUUUCCUCUUCUGCACUCACAGACUGCUACCAUUCAUGGUGGAUGUGUCUUCCCACUAAAGUUCACCUGAUCAAGACGAUCAAUCCAUCGCAGGCAUGCUCAGAGACCUACCUCCCAGCUGAGUCUAGACCUCAUCAAGCUGACAAUUGAGGCUAUCCACCACAGUAUCGAUAAUAAGCAAGGCAGGAUGACUGCUCUCCAGGCACUGGAAAAACCAACAUUUUCCUAAUGAAUGAACGAUGGCAGCCACUCCGUCUCUCUCACUGAGUGCCACGGAAAUUGAGACUGCCAGAGAUUGGCUGUCCUGUGUGAGAAGUCCUGAUUUUUUUAUGGCGACAUCCCAGCACUCGUUCAAAGGAUCCUUCUCCACCAGCAGUGGAGAAAUCAAGACUAAUGGAGGACCUUGUCUCUGAGGUCUUGGCUAGCUUUAGAUUCCUAAUCCGACAAUGAAGUGUGAUAUUUGGAGAAUGUCUCCUUUGUGGGAACUCAAUGGCUCCCUGCCAGGUCAUAACUGGCUUCCUCCAAAGAGUCUUAAACAUGAAGACACGACCAACUCAUUUAUGGCUUCUCUCCAUUAACAGGGAUGCCUUCCUUCCAUGACUGGAGCAAUGACAGCAAAUGGU
rnacentral:lncRNA from 1 species